rnacentral:rRNA from 1 species
UACGAAGGGGACUAGCGUUGUUCGGAAUUACUGGGCGUAAAGGGUGCGUAGGCGGUUGUUUAAGUCUGUCGUGAAAUCCCCGGGCUCAACCUGGGAAUGGCGAUGGAUACUGGGCAGCUAGAGUGUGUCAGAGGAUGGUGGAAUUCCCGGUGUAGCGGUGAAAUGCGUAGAGAUCGGGAGGAACAUCAGUGGCGAAGGCGGCCAUCUGGGACAACACUGACGCUGAAGCACGAAAGCGUGGGGAGCAAACAGG